AAGACUGCAAAACGCGCACACGAAAAACGUACUCCCCUCACCAUUGCGAAGUCGUUUUCUUCGCGACCCCCUUUCAGUUUCCUGCAUCUCGCAUCUCGGCCUUGGUGUGCACAUACACACUCCGGUACCAGGCCACGUCAAGACUCGUACACAUAUGGGUGCGCUUGCCAAUGCCGGAGUCCGUGCAGCCAAAGCCAGGCUUUGAAUACCCGAAGCGCGCGGCGAUCGGUUCGUACUGGUCGAACCGCAACAGAGACGGGAAGCACUUCAAGAACCUCGGUCUUGCAUCGUCGUCUAGCGCGUCGGCCGGGAAAGUGAUGCAAUGGAUGCUGUCCCACUCGUGCAACGGCGUCCCAAAGCCGAAAGGAGGCUAUGACGCGUUCGGCAAGAUCUGGUACGCGCCGUGCAACAUGGCCGAGUCAGUGGCGCAGUGGCGGGCGAGUAUGAGUAACGACGAAGCGCAGCCAGCCAAGAACCGGGUGUACUGGAUCGGUCACUCGAGUCAGCUGCUGUGCCUCUCCAAUGGCGUCAACGUCCUCUUCGACCCCAUCUUCUCGCAGCGUGCCUCGCCACUGUCGUUUGCCGGGCCGUCGCGCCGGUUCCCGCCGGCCGCCACGGCAGCGCAGCUCCCACCGAUCCACAUUGUCACGGUCUCGCACAACCACUAUGACCACAUGGACAAGCACAGCAUCAAGGCCGUUGCGGUCCGCUUCCCCGAUGCCCAGUUCGUGGUGCCGCUGAAGCUGGACCGCUUCCUCAGAGAGUGGGGUGUGCCGGCCGCGUCUAUCACCACGCUUGACUGGUACGAGGCGUGCGAGGUGAAAGGGGUCCGGGUGGGUUGCACGCCGGCUCAGCACUGGGGAAAGCACAGCGCCUUCGACGAUAAUGAGGUGCUAUGGUGCGGCUGGUGUGUCGGCUGGCAGCCAGGCCAGCAGCAGCAUCAGCAGAAGCCCGCGUCUACGUGCGAGAAGCCCACCCUCAUCUCCUCCAGCGGCAUCGAGUCUAGCUCCGAGGUGCUGGUCGAGGCACAGCGGACGUGGAACCGGUACAAGAAGUACUUCUUCGCUGGCGACACGGCGUACAACCCGGAUGUCUCGACGAGCAUCUACGCUCACUUCGGCCCGAUGGAUAUGGCCGCGCUCCCGAUCGGCGCGUAUUCACCGCGGUGGUUCAUGGCGCGCGCCCACAUCGACCCAGAGCACGCGGUGCAGAUCUUUCAGGACCAGCACAUCCAGCAGGCCGUGGCGGUGCACUGGGGUACCUUUGAGCUCGCCGACGAGCCGCUCGAUGAGCCGCCGCAGGUCCUGCGCAAGACCUUAAAGGACGCCAGUAUCGAUGAGAGCAGGUUCCAAAUUAUUCCCAUGGGCAAGUUCAUCGAGUUCUAGUUCGUUCCAACGUGCGCCACCGCGGAGCGCCCAAUGAUGCACCCGAAUGCCCGUCUUCUCCCCUCGGCCCCUUGACAAGCGGCCCUUCUUCCACCCUACCCCUGCGCCGGCGUUGUCGUUCGACGCCUCUGUUGCAGCAUCGCUCCGCCACCCACCACCACCACGACCUAUGGCUGCAGAUCCUUGCAUUUUUUUUCAUCCUUCACGACGAUGCCGGCGACCUCAGCGCGUGUGGCAUCCGGGUCCAGUACCCACGCUCUGCGCGGAGUCCGCCCUCGGCUACGGCUGCGGGCUCUUGGCGCCGGCGGGCAGGUGUCUGCCGGAGCGGUGCCGUGGAGGCGUGCGGCCAUGACCACGCCUCGACCAGCUCUCUACGGAUCGCGCCGGUUCCUUGGCGGUAUCAGCCCACUAUUUUUCUUCGCGAUGCGUUCAUGCGAAGAGCGAUCCACGGGCCUGACCUGUGCUGGGUCGAACGACGCCAAACGGUGUUGCUUGGCCCGAUUCCUUCAUACAGCCCCGGCGCCACAUACCACCAGGGGGGUGAGCUAAGAUUGUUUAUGCGUCCGUUGGUUCGUGGAAGAGUGAACACGUUGAAAAAAAAAAAACAAAGACACCCAUUCGUCGCCACCCACCGCGCAGUGCGACGCCGCUCGGCGAGCCGGGAUAAAAAAACGAAACAUUUCCGCUCUGCCCGUGGGGCCUUCCCACGGCCUUCCUGCUUCUUCUCCAUGUGCCCCGCCCCCCCCCUUUCUGUUGGCUGCCCCUCCCGCCCUCGCCACCGCCGAGGAACCCCUAAAGGCGGGGCCAAGCCCGCCCCUCCUGGCUGGGCACCGCGCACGGCGGCCGCCCCCACACCGAAAUACCGCAAAACG
rnacentral:misc_RNA from 1 species